AGGAUACUCAUCCAUGAGGUAGGUAGGUAGGAUACUCAUCCAUGAUGUAGGUAGGAUACUCAUCCACGAGGUAGGUAGGUAGAAUACUCAUCCAUGAGGUAGGUAGGAGACUCAUCCACGAGGUAGGUAGGUAGGAUACUCAUCCACGAGGUAGGUAGGUAGGAUACUCACCCAUGAGGUAGGUAGGUAGGAUACUCACCCAUGAGGUAGGUAGGUAGGAUACUCAUCCAUGAGGUAGGUAGGAUACUCAUCCAUGAGGUAGGUAGGUAGGAUACUCAUCCAUGAGGUAGGUAGGAUACUCAUCCAUGAGGUAGGUAGGUAGGAUACUCAUCCAUGAGGUAGGUAGGAUACUCAUCCAUGAGGUAGGUAGGUAGGAUACUCAUCCAUGAGGUAGGUAGGAUACUCAUCCAUGAGGUAGGUAGGUAGGAUACUCAUCCAUGAGGUAGGUAGGAUACUCAUCCAUGAGGUAGGUAGGUAGGAUACUCAUCCAUGAGGUAGGUAGGUAGGAUACUCAUCCAUGAGGUAGGUAGGAUACUCAUCCAUGAGGUAGGU